GACAACCAGGAGCCAGCCAAACUACACCCCACCCGACCCCCCCCAUUGUGUAGUUUGGGGUGCAAUAACGGGACCAGCCAACACACGUGCGCCUUCCAGACCACAUACACCUAUCGACCUGAAAGAAAGAAAGGCCUGCCCUAGGUACCCACCCAUGGCGCCCAGGCAUAUCUUGAUGACAAAGCGCAGCAACGGAGACCCAUCACGAUAGCUAGGGUGGGGAACCGUCUGGUGGUCACCCAACCCGCAAGGACACAAACGAGAUCCUCAGGUACGGGGCCACACGUUGCCCUCACGGCGGUAGGGAUCCAGGUAACGCUCCAGCACCACAAGAGUCCGGAGCUGGCUGAAGCCCAUCAGGGCGGGCACAUCCCCGCCGGCCGACGCCGCCGCCUGCAGAGCACCGCGGCGGAAACUAUGCACUGUUUCCCCGGCAUACAGCUGGGCAGCCCGCAGGUGUAGUCGCAGCCGGGCGGCGAGAGUGGCCACCUACCGGGGCACCAGGCUGUGCACAAGACCACAGGUACAGGGCCAGCGUCCACGGAAUGCAGAAGGCGGAGGUCGACUAGCUCCUCGCCCCGGGCACCAGCUCCAGCCACGCAUCCUUUCCCCCACCCGAAUGCCGACUCCAUGUCGGAAGAUGCCGUACAACAUCACCCUCCAGAGGAGGGUCUGCUCGGGAAGCUGCCUUUUGNCNUUGUGCUCAAGAUCAUUGUGAAGAUGGCGCCACUGCUUCGCAGCUUUGAACCCGUGCUUACGGAGGAACAUAGUGAUGAUGCACACGGUCUGCAACCCGCCAAGGGUCCCCUGGUGCUUUUGGUGGCUAAAACUGUGGC
rnacentral:lncRNA from 1 species